GUCUUUGGCCGUCCGAGUUGUAAUCUAGAGAAGUAAUGCCCGUGCUGGACCGUGUAUAAGUCUCCUGGGAUGGGGCGUCAUAGAGGGUGAGAAUCCCGUCUUUGACACGGACUACCAGUGCAUUGUGGUAUGCUCUCAAAGAGUCGAGUUGUUUGGGAAUGCAGCUCAAAAUGGGUGGUAAAUUCCAUCUAAAGCUAAAUAUUGGCGAGAGACCGAUAGCGAACAAGUACCGUGAGGGAAAGAUGAAAAGAACUUUGGAAAGAGAGUUAAACAGUACGUGAAAUUGCUGAAAGGGAAACGCUUGAAGUCAGUCGCGUUGGCCAGGGAUCAGCCUUGCUUUUGCGUGGUGUACUUUCUGGUUGACGGGUCAGCAUCAAUUUUGACCGCUGGAAAAGGGCCUGGGGAAUGUGGCAGCUUCGGCUGUGUUAUAGCCCCUAGUCACAUACAGUGGUUGGGAUUGAGGAACUCAGCACGCCGCAAGGCCGGGAUUCGACCACGUUCGUGCUUAGGAUGCUGGCAUAAUGGCUUUAAGCGACCCGUCUUGAAACACGGACCAAGGAGUCUAACAUGCCUGCGAGUAUUUGGGUGGAAAACCCGAGUGCGUAAUGAAAGUGAAAGUUGAGAUCCCUGUCGUGGGGAGCAUCGACGCCCGGACCAGAACUUUUGGGACGGAUCCGCGGUGGAGCAUGUAUGUUGGGACCCGAAAGAUGGUGAACUAUGCCUGAAUAGGUGAAGCCAGAGGAAACUC
rnacentral:rRNA from 1 species